CACGUAGGUGGCAAGCGUUGUCCGGAUUUAUUGGGUUUAAAGGGUGCGUAGGCGGUUCCUUAAGUCAGUGGUGAAAUACUUCAGCUCAACUGGAGAGGUGCCAUUGAUACUGGGGAACUUGAGUACUGAUGAGGUAGGCGGAAUGGACGGUGUAGCGGUGAAAUGCUUAGAUAUCGUCCAGAACACCGAUAGCGAAGGCAGCUUACUAAGGAGUAACUGACGCUGAGGCACGAAAGUGUGGGGAUCAAACAGG
rnacentral:rRNA from 1 species